rfam:Camelus ferus unplaced genomic scaffold scaffold688, whole genome shotgun sequence.
GGAGCUAUAGCUCAGGGGUAGAGUGUGCGCCUUGCAUGCACGAGGUCCUGAGUUCAAUCCCCAGUACCUCCA